GACGAACGCUGGCGGCGUGCCUAAUACAUGCAAGUUGAGCGCUGAAGGUUGGUACUUGUACCGACUGGAUGAGCAGCGAACGGGUGAGUAACGCGUGGGUAAUCUGCCUUUGAGCGGGGGACAACAUUUGGAAACGAAUGCUAAUACCGCAUAAAAACUUUAAACACAAGUUUUAAGUUUGAAAGAUGCAAUUGCAUCACUCAAAGAUGAUCCCGCGUUGUAUUAGCUAGUUGGUGAGGUAAAGGCUCAACAAGGCGAAGAUACAUAGCCGACCUGAGAGGGUGAUCCGCCACAUUGGGAAUGAGACACGGGCCCAAAUUCUACGGGAGGCAGCAGUAGGGAAUCUUUGGCAAAGGAGGAAAGGCUGAACGAGCAACGCCGCGUUAGUGAAGAAGGUUUUCGGAUCGGAAAACCCUGUUGGUAGAGAAGAACGUUGGUGGGAGUGGAAAGCUCAUCAAGUGACGGUAACUACCCAGAAAGGGACGGCUAACUACGUG
rnacentral:rRNA from 1 species